UUGGUACUUCCUGCAAUGUACAUAUAUUGUCUGUAAUUUUAUUCUUUCAAAAUGCUGUUAUUUUAGUUUUUUGACUGGUCUAUGCAUUUCAUAAUUUUAUUUCUCUCUUUAUGCUUAAAUUUUAUUCUUUGAGUAGUGAAUUCUAAACUGCCUUCCCUGUCCUGGCUGGAGUAAUUAUCCCUAUGACAUACUGUCAAAAAAAGAUAUAACUAGGUU